rnacentral:rRNA from 1 species
CCUACGGGUGGCAGCAGUCGAGAAUCAUUCACAAUGGGGGAAACUCUGAUGGUGCGACGCCGCGUGGGGGAAUGAAGGUCUUCGGAUUGUAACCCCUUGUCCUGUGGGAGCAAAUAAAAAAGAUCGUACCACAAGAGGAAGGGACAGUUAACUCUGUGACAGCCGCUGCGGUAAUACGGAGGUCUCAAGCGUUGUUCGGAAUCACUGGGGGUAAAGCGUGCGUAGGCUGUUUAGUAAGUCGUGUGUGAAAGGCGCGGGCUCAGCCCGGGAACGGCAAAUAAUACUGCGUGACUAGAGUAAAGGAGGGGGAACCGGAAUUCUCGGUGUAGCGGUGAAAUGCGUAGAUAUCGGGAGGAACACUCGUGGCGAAGGCGGGUUCCUGGACAGUAACUGACGCUGAGGCACGAAGGCCAGGGGAGCGAAAGGGAUUAGAUACCCCAGUAGUC